UGAACGCUGGCGGCGUGCUUAACACAUGCAAGUCGAACGAAGCACCUUACCUGAUUUUUCGGAAAUGAUGGCAUUGUGACUGAGUGGCGGACGGGUGAGUAACGCGUGGGCAACCUGCCUCACACAGGGGGAUAACAGUUAGAAAUGACUGCUAAUACCGCAUAAGCGCACAUGACCGCAUGGUCGAGUGUGAAAAACUCCGGUGGUGUGAGAUGGACCCGCGUCUGAUUAGCUAGUUGGUGAGAUAAGAGCCCACCAAGGCGACGAUCAGUAGCCGGCCUGAGAGGGCGACCGGCCACAUUGGGACUGAGACACGGCCCAGACUCCUACGGGAGGCAGCAGUGGGGAAUAUUGCACAAUGGGGGGAACCCUGAUGCAAGCGACGCCGCGUGAGCGAAGAAGUAUUUCGGUAUGUAAAGCUCUAUCAGCAGGGAAGAAAAUGACGGUACCUGACUAAGAAGCUCCGGCUAAAUACGUGCCAGCAGCCGC
rnacentral:rRNA from 1 species